AUAUGCCAGUCUGGAUAUACUGGAGAUGGAUUUAAUUGCCCAGAUGUUGACGAAUGUGUGUUAUCUUCACCAUGUAAUUCCAAUGCUAUGUGCAAUAACACACCUGGAUCUCAUAUCUGCAUAUGUAAUUCUGGAUAUAUAGGAGAUGGAUUUAAUUGCACAGAUGUUGACGAAUGCCUAACAUCUUCCCCAUGUCAUUCCAAUGCUACGUGCAAUAACACAGAUGGAUC